UUGAUCCUAUAAUAAUGUUGACUCUGAGCUUCUGCACUAGGUUUCUUUGGUGACACCUCUACCUGUCCUGAAUUGGUUUACAACUCUUAGUUAUGCCUUGCCUUGAAUCUUUAUGAGGACUGCAAUAGUAUCUACCCCAAAGGGGGAGCCUCUCGAGUAUGUCAUUAUCAUUUUAUGUUCAGCUUAUUGCUUUGUGGAUUCUUGGUUCCUAUAACUACUCUAGUGCAUCUUGCGAAAUCCGUGCUUUGAAAUUGUUUGCCUCAUAUAUGUGCUCAUUUUAAGGUCUUUGUACAUGUGUGUCCUCUUACCUGUUAGUUGUCACCUGUAAGGUGACACUUAGAAAACUUUUCUGCUGAUGAUUGUAAUAAUGGGAAUCCAUAUGUCUUUGCCUGAAUCCCUGAGUUAUUCAAAUAACGCUCCUUAUAUCCCCAUAUUCCUGUUAUUCGCUAAUAGGUAAGCGAGGGAAUUGCUUUCAUGCUUGGGGACUGGUUUAUUGGGUUGUGUGUAUUAUUGGAUCUGAGCAUUAAUCAGGCAGGCUUGCAAGUCUGGAUAUCAGGCCUCUUAGAUAUGCAAGAGUACGGCUGGCGAAGGCCAGAAGGGCACUGUUGGGUUACUUUAUACUUGUGUUGGGCCUGUAAAUGUUGUAUUUGGGCAUACUAUAUCCCUAUUAAGUUUGUAUUUGUUUUAUUAUUCUAGAUGGGCAUGUAAUAAUUUGUAAACAGCAACCGAGGUCUUAAUAAAUAAGGGGGUUGGGGUAUUCUAUUACUUGCAUGAAUAGGUAGAAAACAUGCAUAUAUGAUCUACGUGGUCUAUUUGCUAUUCGUUCAGCAUGCCUUAUAUGCCAUUUAGUUUCAUGUGUAGAAAGCAUGCCUAUAGGAAUCAUGCAUACUUCAUUUAUACAUUGUUCAAACACGUUAUCCAAAGUAUUUGCCAUACUCGCUUCUAUAUUAUUACUGUACGCUUAAACAACAUGCCUAUAGGAUGUGAUAUAUAUGUUUUUCUCCACUACAUACCAUGCCUAAGAAUUUCAAAUAACCAAUUGGUCAAAUGAUUUUAUUACUUUAGUGUACUGCCCAUUUAGACACCAUGACUACAAAAUCUUAAUUAAUUAACUACUUCGUGCCAUUUCUGUACUGCUUCUUUAUAAGAAAUCAUGUCUAUAGGAUACUGUCACCUGCCUAGAAAAUACGCCUAUAGGGAUAAAGUGUUAUAAAAUUAGAAACCAUUAGAAAUCCGGCCUAUAGGAUAUCGUAAUCAUAUUAGACAACAUGUUUAUAAAAUCAAUGUCACAAACUCUGGGUUUUCAAAUAGUCUUACCGCCUCUGCAUGCAAAUAAGAAGAGAUUACGUCUGCAGGACCUGUAACUCCUUUAAUAUAUAAAUCUGUUAGCUUAAAGCUGCAAUGUUACCUAUACAAUGCUGAAAGUCAAAAUCAUCUAGAAAUCAUGCCAAUAGGACUUAACGACUAACAUAACCUGAAAUCUGUUUGAGUGCCUUUGUUGUUAUGUGUGGAGGCUAACUUGGGCCUUUAAUUGUCUUU
rnacentral:lncRNA from 1 species